GCAUUGGUUUGGAUUUAUGGCAGGCUUGUCCCCCUGGGCCUCUCAUAGUACCCCAUGCCAGAGCAAGCUGGCCCCGAACCAUCGCCCAGCUUCUGCCUGUGAGCUGCUGGCACUGAAGUGGGUUGCACAGUG
ensembl:snoRNA